AGGUACCUCAGAUGAGUGGAAUUAUGCAGUAUUUGUCCUUUUGUGUGUACAACUAAUUUGACAGGCAGUAUGAUAAGGAACAAUCUGAAUGACACGUAAGCAGGAGGGGGUAAAUUCCAAGCACAGCCUGAAUGAGAAGUACAACUCAUUUCGUGUAACCUAGAUGCCUUUUUAACCCAUCUAUGCAGUCUCCAUGUGAAACCAGGUGCUGUUCCCAAAGGAGAAAACACUGCCCUCCAGUGGUCUUCAAUGAAGAAAUGGAAAUAGUUUCAGGUACCAUGAUAGCAGCAUUUACAUGAAACAUGGUGUAUUUAUCUAGUCUCAUUUUUGGCUGUAUUUCUUAAGCUGAAACACGUCUACAACUGAGCAUAAGGACAAAAUUUCCAAGAUAAAUUCUAAUAGGUGGAAACCAGGCUUCUUGGAAGACUUCAGACUAUGCCAAAUGGUCUGAUUUCACCAUAGAGAAUGUUAUACUAUUAAUUGCCAAUUUGCAUAUGUGUGCAGCUGCUGUUUUGGCUCUGAACUCAAUCCGAUAAGCUUGCUGGAGGUAUCGCAGAGCACUUGGCAGCUUUCCUAUUUGAAAAGAAAGCCUCUCCCCUCUACAGAACAGCUGAUCGUCUAUCAGCGAUAGACC
rnacentral:antisense_RNA from 1 species